AUAUUCAUAAUCUGGCCUUUUCAUUGGCUAAGAGCGUCAUUAAUACGCGAUUUCCCCGAUUCUUUGUCAUCGAUACUAGUGGUAUCGUGUUACAGAAAUAAUUAUUCAUUUGACCUCAUUACGUCAUCUAAUUUAUUCAUUCUGAAACUUUUCUGUCCACACACAAAAUGGACCUACGAACACUCCGGUGAGUUGAGUUUGAAGAACAAGAAAAACAGUAGAGGUCUACCUAUAUGGUUCAAGAUGAUGAUCAUAAGUGCAUGCAUCAUUUUGCAGAUUCUCAUCCAGGAUGAUGCAGUUUUACAAUUUCCAUGGAGGUGAUUGAUGAUGAUAAAUAAUUGGUGAAGUAGGCCUAAUAUAACAGCAACUAGACCACAAAGAGAAAUACAACCAACAGCAGUUAUAUGAGACUGGUGUAACAGAUGUUUUCAUUCAAGAAAUCCAACAAUUCAACAUUGAAGAGUCUGACUUAGGAACCACUUGAUGAAGAUGGAAAAGGUUUUUUUUUCCAAGUCCAAUUUUUCACCCAAAAAAAAUUAUUAUCACAACCCCAAAUUCAUGACGUAUGAAAUUUCUUGUUGAUUUUCAUUAAAACUAGUUGCAAAAGGAGAAGCUAUAAACAUACAAAUAGGAGCGGCGGAGUGAAGUUGAAAGUGGGGGGGAGGGGGGCAUAGGGAAAAUGCUGUAUUACAUGAAAUUUUGUAAGAAGUUGCGAGCGAGCAAAAUUUGGACAUUUUUAAAAAGAAAAUCUAAAAUAUUCAGAAUGAUAUAUUUCACCCUUUUCUUUCCUUUUCUCUUUUUUUUCUUGGUCGUGAUUUUUUUUUUUUUGGGGGGGGGAGGGGGGGCAAGAGUCCUUUAAGCCCCCCUCCAUCUGUACGAAACUGCUUAUAUACCCCACUCAUGAAUUAUUAAACUUAAUGCACAAAGGAUUUCCUUCAUAAGUAUAUUAUCGAAAUGAGAAUAUCGUUUUCUUGUUUCAAAGGGCAAUCGUCAUGGUGACCAUAAAACGGGUCCUUCUCAGGUGAAAGGGGCACAGAACAAGUUCUUUAGGAGCACUUUUCUUGGGUAAAAGGGGGCAGUGAUUCGAGAAAGGGCACUUACAAGAAGGCAAGGGGGCACUCUUUAACACAUGAAACGGGCCCUCAGAUGAAAGGGCACAGAACACGUUCCGGGGGGGGGGCAUUUUUGGGAAAAAAAAUGCAUACAAGGAAGAGCACUUGGUAACACCUAAAACAGGUUCUCGUCAGGUGAAAGGGACACAGUACACGUUCGUGAGGGGGCAUUUUUCUUGCAUAAAAGGGCACUUUUCAGUGCUUCAAGAAGUAGGGGGAACUGUGCCCCCCCCCUCCCCAGGAUCGCUGCCCCAGCAUACAAAAAAAUUAUUUUGGUUCAAAGUAUUAACAUACGCUUAAGAAAAAGGUAAAGCUUAAUCCUCUGAUAAUGUGAUAUUUUUUUAUGGCUAAUUAAUAAAAUUCACCACUAACCAGAGAAUUCCUUUAUGUCUUUCAUUUGUGUUCAUAUAGUAUUUGUACAGAGCUAAAAUGAAAGGGAUUUGGAAUUGGCAAAAUUGAAAAUGAGAUGAAGAUCGAGAGAGGGAAAGAGUGAUGAGAAGUGGGUUGAAAAGAGAUGAGAAAGAAAUGGAGGGGCACAUAUGAAGAGAUAAUUUAGAGGGGGUGGUAAGAGAGCUAGAAUGUGGGAAGUAGGAACAAAAGGGGUGGUGGAGAAAUAAGACGAGAUUUAUGGAAACCAGGAGACAGAUAACAAGUGGG